ensembl:snoRNA SNORD22 Small nucleolar RNA SNORD22
UCCCAAUAAAGAGACUUUCACAGGUCUUACUUCCGUUCCUAGCCCCACAGCCUGAAAGAUGAAACAAAUAGGGCUGGCUGGGGGAAAAGAGGAGGAGAAUAUGUUCCAGAAGGAACUCACUAUCAUCACAGUUUUUGUACUUGGGA